rnacentral:lncRNA from 1 species
AAAUUACUAAUGUCUCAUUUUCUCAGCGUUCUCAUCCCUGAUUUCCAUGUAUCUGUGAGCAGGGGUCAAGAAAGAAGAUCUUCAUGCUUGGUGUAAGGAUGCAUCAUCUCCAGCCUCAAUGUACACCAUCGUGUGAAAGGACCCAUCAACAGCUGUAGAAUCUCUGCUGAGUCCUGGCUGCUCCUUUCAGGCAGCCUUCCUGGAGAGCACUGAAUCCAGCUCCUGCCAGAAGGCUAUAACAUGGGGUCCAUACUUUGUCUCCAGUAAAACUUGGAAUGCUGCCCAAUCCAAACAGGGCUAGGGGGCCAUUUGCAGAAGAAUUGAUUUCAGGGAUUAGGCCAGUGGAAUUUGUCCCAUGAAGUCUGUAUUUUGUAGUCACAGCCUGGUUGGAGGAAGUUAGAUUUUUUUUCUUUCUUCAUUGUUAGAAGAUUAUGGAAUCAUCAUCAUGAGUUGUUCUGCUCACAAAGAUUGGUAGGUGUGGGAUCUCCAAGGUAUUGUCUAGACCCUUUGUAUUUCUUUUUCCUUUUUUUUUUUUUUUUGGUACCGGGGAUCGAACUUGGUGCCUUGCACUUGCAAAGUAAGCAACAGAACCACUGAGCUAAAUCCCCGGCCUCGUAGACCCUUUGUAAUAGGGCCACGUUUGAGAUGACAGCUAUCUAAUAUUCAGGAAGUAGCUUUUACCUAUGGUCCUGGAUCCUUAUUGAUGCUGUUCUGGGUUAAUUAAAAGAGGCCCAUAUUUCUACUCUAGCUCAGAUACAAAUAGAACCUGCAUAGGGGCAGGAGGUUUUAUGACCAGAUAUACAAGAGUGGCACAGACAAGUGGGACCGUCAAGAGAAAGGACAAAAGAAAUAAAACCAUGAGGCAAGCUUGCCACAAAAUGUGAUGUCUAAUGACAAGGGCCUCUUUUUCACUGGAGGAAGUUAAACAAAUGAGAGGUAAGGACCUUUGGGAAGAGUGACAAUUCACUGAUGACAGAGAUCAAGAAGAAUGACUAUCCCAUCUCAUCCUGGGAAGGUAAGCAGAAUAAGGGGUAGAAUAAUGGCUCUCAAGCUGGCUCAGCAAGUUACCUGGACAAUUUUAUAAGCAGGAAAACUAAUCUAGGCCACAAUUUCUGAUUUAAGCCUGCAGAGCCAAAUGUAUUUAAAACGUUUUCAGCUCCACCCCAUGUGAGAAAGCAGACCUAGAGUGGCACCCCUCUCCCCAGUGUGAGAGAGCAGACCUGUGAUGGAGGAGUGCUGCCUCGCACCCAGGGGAGCACAGCACAGGGCAGUGGAGGCAAUGACUAACCAACCGACCCAAUCCUGGACUCCUGGAUGAAGACAACACCUGGGGAGAGAAGGGAGCAACCAGACCCCAUGACUGUUGACAUUAAGUCCAACAGCCCACUUGAACCUCUGCCUUACAGCCUACAUCCAGCAGAGAACAGAGGGCUGAUCUCAUUCCCCAUUCCUGGUAGAAACAAGGACAUGCUUGGCUUUAACCAUAACCACAAGUCUGGGGGGAAUGAACAGAGGGGCCUCUAGUGCAAGGAAG